UUUUUCCCCACUGUCUGUGUCCCAACAGGGGCUGGAGAAUCAGGAAAAAGCACCAUUGUGAAGCAGAUGAAGAUCAUCCAUGAAGAUGGCUUCUCCGGAGAAGAUGUGAAACAGUACAAGCCUGUUGUCUACAGCAACACCAUCCAGUCCCUGGCAGCCAUCGUCCGGGCCAUGGACACUUUGGGCAUCGAAUAUGGUGAUAAGGAGAGAAAGGCUGACGCCAAGAUGGUGUGUGACGUGGUGAGUCGGAUGGAAGACACCGAGCCCUUCUCUGCAGAGCUGCUUUCUGCCAUGAUGCGGCUCUGGGGCGACUCAGGAAUCCAAGAGUGCUUCAACCGGUCCCGGGAGUAUCAGCUCAACGACUCUGCCAAAUACUACCUGGACAGCCUGGAUCGGAUUGGGGCCGCCGACUACCAGCCCACCGAGCAGGACAUCCUCCGAACCAGGGUCAAAACCACUGGCAUCGUAGAAACCCACUUCACAUUCAAGAACCUCCACUUCAGGCUGUUUGACGUCGGAGGCCAGCGAUCUGAACGCAAGAAGUGGAUCCAUUGCUUCGAGGACGUCACGGCCAUCAUUUUCUGUGUCGCACUCAGCGGCUAUGACCAGGUGCUCCACGAAGACGAAACCACGAACCGCAUGCACGAGUCUCUCAUGCUCUUCGACUCCAUCUGUAACAACAAGUUCUUCAUCGAUACCUCCAUCAUUCUCUUCCUCAACAAGAAAGAUCUCUUUGGCGAGAAGAUCAAGAAGUCACCUUUGACCAUCUGCUUUCCUGAAUACACAGGCCCCAAUACCUAUGAAGACGCAGCCGCCUACAUCCAAGCACAAUUUGAAAGCAAAAACCGCUCACCCAACAAAGAAAUAUAUUGUCACAUGACUUGUGCCACAGACACGAAUAAUAUCCAGGUGGUGUUCGACGCCGUCACCGACAUCAUCAUUGCCAACAACCUCCGGGGCUGCGGCUUGUACUGACCUCUUGUCCUGUAUAGCAACCUAUUUGACUGCUUCACGGACUCUUUGCUGUUGACGUUGAUCUCCUGGUAGCAUGACCUUUUGGCCUUUGUAAGACACACAGCCUUUCUGUAUCAAGCCCCUGUCUAACCUACGACCCCAGAGUGACUGACGGCUGUGUAUUUCUGUAGAAUGCUGUAGAAUCCGGUUUUAGUUGAGUCUUCACAUUUAGAAUUUGAAAGGAAAAAAAGAACAUUUCUCAUGUGCUUUGUAGCUUAAAAAAAAAAAAAGGAAAACUCACCAUUUCAUCCAUAUUUCUUUCUUUUUCUUGCAAAACAAACAUACCCAUCUGCACCGACGCCUGCCCCCGUCCCACCUCGCGGCGCAGCCCCUGGCGCUCCUACUGGGGAGCAGGGCCCAUCUGCCGCCUGGGGCUCCGGUGCGGUGCACUGGUCCGAGGAGUGUGCUCAGGCCGGGCUUUCCAGAAGGCCACAGGCCACUGCAAACCCUGCUGCCUGCCGGCCGCCCAGACACCACAGACGCCACCUGGCGGCCCUAAGCCACUCCCGCCACACGCUCACUCCAGGUUCGUAUAGAAAAAGCACAGCUCUCACUGGCCAGUAGCUGCCAGAAAGAAUACCCAUCGUAUAUGGAAAUCCAGCCCCAUAGAAAACAAUCUGCCCACCGACCCCCUUUCU
rnacentral:sRNA from 1 species